CAGGCUUCCUGGCCUUUUGGCUGAGAUCAAGUGUAGUAUCUGUUCUUAUCAGUUUAACAUCUGAUAUGUCCUCUAAAUGAGGAUGUUAUAUUAAACAGAUUUUUAGAGCAGGGAGCUGGAAUAGGAGCUUGUUCCCUCCGCUCCACGUAUUAACCUGGUAUUGCAGUACUUCCAGGAAUGGUCUCUGCCUU